CAUUUGAUGUUUUUCAAAAAGCUUACAUAACUACUUUUAGCUCCAUAUUUCUCUCAAAUUUUUCUUCUCUAAAAAGAGUCCACCACUCUAUUCCAAGCCUUGAGAAUAGCUAGGAAGAUCUCUUGGAUUAGGAAGGGCUAGUAGCCCAUGGUUAAGAAGCCCAAGUGAGUAGUACAAGGUUUAAAGGUUUAGGCUAGUGAAAGGGGCUUGAGAAAUGAAUUUCUAGGAGAAGUUAAGCUUGAGGCUGGGAAGUAGAAGGAAGCUAGAGUUGGACAGAAAAUAGCGUCUUCCAGAACGUGAACAAAUCUAGGCUGCUUUCAUUUCUUUGCUCUAGCUGAAGCACUAUAGCAGAAUAGGUAAGUUCUAGCAUUGAUGAUCAAGGUAAAGGUUUGAGGCAUAGAGAUGAAUGUUUGAAGUGCAGGUUUCUAACGUUCUUCUUUUGUGAAAAGAGGUUUUUAAGGAGGAGCCGAGAAGAGAAAGAAGUGCGGAACCAGAGAGGAAAAGCCAAAGCAUUGUCAAGUCGAAGCAUAUAAAAGCUGGAGCAUAGCGAUAUCAGGGCAUGGGUGUCCGUACAGUUAAAUCAAAAACACCAGAUUCACUUAUGUCCGUACAAUCUCCAGUCGGGUGCCCUAAAAACGGGAUCCGAUAUUUAAAGGAAAGGUUGCCCUAGCCGACGGGCACGCAGAUCCUAAGGGAGGCAAAAGUUGAAAGCUGAAAUGACCAAGGGAGGGAAUAUACCCAUUUUCGAGAGGAGAGCUGACUCUAGAAAGGGGAAACUCAUCUGCUGCUUUGCGCUGACUGCUUUUCUUCUCUGUCAUUUAGCUAAAUUUCUGCUAUGGGUUGUAUUUCUUCUUCUUCCAUUUUGUUUUCUACACCCAUUAUGAGCUAAACCCCAUUUCGGGGGAGGUUCACACGCUGUAACUGACUUGAGACCGAAUAUCUAGCAUGCUACAUUUAUUUUUAAGCAAA